rnacentral:tRNA from 1 species
GGGCAAUUAACUCAGUGGUAGAGUGCUUCGUUCACAUCGAAGAAGUCGCUGGUUCGAAUCCAGCAUUGCCCA